UGAGGUGUGGAUGGGUGAGGUGUGGAUGGGGGAAGUGUGGAUUGGUGAGGUGUGGAUGGGUGAGGUGUGGAUGGGGGAAGUGUGGAUGGGGGAAGUGUGGAUGGGUGGGGUGUGGAUGGGGGAGGUGUGGAUGGGGGAGGUGGUUGUUGACUUGCUGUGAGAAAUUGAGCCGUAACGCUGUGCAGCGUAUUGGCUGACGACGGGCGACUGAAUGUGAUCUUCCUCCAUAGGAGCUUGCGGCUGUGACAAGUAGAGGAAAACCAAAAGAUUAUGUAAGUAAGCCUCACAGUUAAUGGCACCUACAAGAAGUAACAAAUAAACAACAUUACCGUAUGGUGAGAGAUAUCAGCUUGUGGCCCCGUCUGGCAUACAUCGUGGGAAGAGACAGGAACGUUGUCGUUUGUUGGUUCAGUCUGACAUCCUUUGUGUGCAAAAGCAGUUUUGCCUUUCUUUACUAAUCCUUCUCCGAGAAGAGUGUUGAAGGCAGAGCGCUUGAACGAAGUUGUAGUCUUCUUGCGCUUAAGCAAUUUGCGAAGCAGCUUUGACUCCUUUUGAAGCUUGGAUACUUGAUCUGAAAUUGCAGUCAGGAGCUCCAGUAUUUUGUCGUUUGAUAUCCUGGAAGAAGACGCGGCAUGAAAGUAACUACUGAUGCGUCUCUGCUUGCGGACCGUGUCUUUUUUCUUUGAUGUCUUCCUUGGUUUGAGGACCUUUUUGGUGACUGGUUUGGCAUUUUUGGGAGGUGCUUCCGGCUUGAUCUUCUUAGAUUUGGGUUGAUCUUCAUCAUUUGUAGCAGUAGUGAUUAAUGGCGCAGAUGUGUCUCCACCAUGCCAAAGGUCCUUCGUGAAGGGGCGAUGGUCAGCUAUAAGUUGCUCCAUGUAUGACACACGGUCGUCGUUUGAGACAUCAGGCCAAACACCCCAUCCAGGUUGUGGUUGGCUAUGUAUUGGUAUCAACGGUGUCACUUGAAGCUGAAGUUUAUCAAAACAUUAACAAAAAUGUCAAGACUUCAGAAAAUAACAGCAAGACAAAAUUAUAAGAGAGUGUAGUAUGUAGCUUACAUCAGGGUCAGCUUCCACACUUAUAAUAUCGCUGGCGCUGGGCGCUGGAUAGGAAGGAAGAUUAGGGCCGUCGAGGUCCAUGAUUGUACGAGAAUCAAACGGGAUGGGAAUGGUUGACUGAAGUUUUGGGAUCGCCUGGUAUGCAAGGAGUUGUAGUGCAAGGGGGAAUCCCCUAAGCCUCAAUGACUCCUGCUUGAGGAGCUGAACCAUUGCUUCGAUUGGGUCCUGACAUUUCUUUGGGACGAACUUCGGAGGUUUCAUGCAGACAAUGGUCUUGAUAAAAGACUCUCUACCCCAAGGAUGUGAGCAGAAAGUGUCAACGUCUUGGACCAUUCUGACAUAUUUCAGAGUAGGGCGUGGCGUUUGUUGAUGAGCAAUGAGGACACCAUCGACUAUUAUUAUCAAAGCAAGCUGUAGCUUCUUUUUCCCCGGCAUGUUCUUAUCGGUCUCCAGCUUGUUACGCAAAUCAGCAAUGGUUGUGAAUCUCUUUUUCCCUAUCAACUUGAUCCAAUCAGGGUCUUUGUUUGCUUGAGACUCGUCUUCUUUAUCAAGGGUGUAUCCAACAGGGAAAGCUCCACAAGGCAAACCGGUAAUGGUGCCAAACUCUUGGAGGCCGAACUUGAUUGGAUCACUUGUGUGUGUUUGUCCGCACAAACUAGUUGUCUGGUCAACAUGGCGUGUAUCAGUUUACCCGAAGACGGACAUUGACGGGCUGGGAGGUCAAAUAACUUCCCGAAGCAAGAGCUCCUAAUAUACUCGAACUCUUCGGUGCCUCGAAGAACAUGACGGAUGAAAGCUAGAAGCUCUGGCUUUGAGUAAAUGUUGUGGCGUCCAAUCGGGAAACGGUCGGUGGCGAAUAGUCUCGGUGGGAGACGGUGGUCCGGUUGAUUGUUGCCUGAAAAAAACCGACGGAACAAAUUAGGAAAAAACUUUAACGGCGGAAUCGAUUUUCUGGGUUUGAACAAAACAUAAACAAAAACCCUAAAGGGGUCGAUUAAGAUGUAAUAUAAACAUAUAAUACUGGAUCUGAACAAAAUAGAUGUAUAUUAGACGAAAACAAACCUUGCAUGACUUGAUGUAGAGGUACAGAAAACGACGGCGGCGGAUGCGAUAGAUUCAGCGGAUGUCAGAGAACGGCGGAGUGACGGAGCUUGUGUGAAGAACGGAAGGAGAUGAAAGGAUCUAUGGAGCUCACUUUCGAAGGAGAGACUGUGAAGAAUUAGUUGUAGGGUUUGGUCGAAAUCGCCGCAAGGCGGAGUGACAGAGAUUGUGUGAAGAAGGGAAAGAGAUGAAAGGAUCUAGCUGGAACCGUCGAAGGAGAGACUGUGAAGAGAGUAGUUCUAGGGUUUGGUCGAAAUCGCCGCAAGGAGGCGUGAGAGAAAGAGAGAGAGAGAAUCGUAAAAGAGAGAGAAAUGUGUAAAUUUGAAUUAGAAAUUGGUUUGGUACAAAGACAUAAACCGAUGUAUAAGAUUUUGUUCUGGUUUGGUUUUUCUACUUUCUCUACCAUAAGGGUAUAGAAGACAAUGACUAAGGAAGAAGUAUGUGACAUGUGCAAUGUGUCUUAGAGAGUAAAUUCAAAGACAUAAAGUGUCUUAGAAGGUAAAAAAUUCAA
rnacentral:lncRNA from 1 species